rnacentral:rRNA from 1 species
CAGUCGCCGCGGGAAUACGUAGGGUGCAAGCGUUAAUCGGAAUUACUGGGCGUAAAGCGUGCGCAGGCGGUUAUAUAAGACAGAUGUGAAAUCCCCGGGCUCAACCUGGGAACUGCAUUUGUGACUGUAUAGCUAGAGUACGGCAGAGGGGGAUGGAAUUCAGCGUGUAGCAGUGAAAUGCGUAGAUAUGCGGAGGAACACCGAUGGCGAAGGCAAUCCCCUGGGCCUGUACUGACGCUCAUGCACGAAAGCGUGGGGAGCAAACAGGAUUAGAUACCCCCGUAGUCCCUGUCUCUUAUAC